rnacentral:rRNA from 1 species
UACGUAGGUCCCAAGCGUUGCGCGAUGUUACUGGGCGUAAAGCGUCCGUAGCUGGUUUCGUAAGCGGAUUGUCAAAACCCGAAGCUUAACUUCGGCAAGGCAUUCCGAACUGCGUUACUUGAGUCCUGUUCAGGUAGGCGGAAUUCCCGGUGUAGCGGUGAAAUGCGUAGAGAUCGGGAGGAACACCAGUGGCGAAGGCAGCCUACUGGGACGGUACUGACGGUCAUGGACGAAAGAUGGGGGAGCAAACCGG